rnacentral:rRNA from 1 species
UGGGGGCAACCCUGAUCCAGCCAUGCCGCGUGAGUGAAGAAGGCCUUAGGGUUGUAAAACUCUUUCAACUGUGAGGAUGAUGACAGUAGCAGUAGAAGAAGCACCGGCUAACUUCGUGCCAGCAGCCGCGGUAAUACGAAGGGUGCGAGCGUUGUUCGGAAUUACUGGGCGUAAAGGGCGUGUAGGCGGAUUGCAAAGAUAGAGGUGAAAGGCCUGGGCUCAACCUGGGAACUGCCUUUAUAACUUGCAGUCUAGAGAUCGAGAGAGGAUAGCGGAAUUCCUAGUGUAGAGGUGAAAUUCGUAGAUAUUAGGAAGAACACCAGUGGCGAAGGCGGCUAUCUGGCUCGAUACUGACGCUGAGGCGCGAAAGCGUGGGGAGCAAACAGGAUUAGAUACCCUGGUAGUCCACGCCGUAAACGAUGUGAACUAGUCGUCAGGAUGCUUGCAUCUUGGUGACGGAGCUAACGUAUUAAGUUCACCGCCUGGGGAGUACGGUCGCAAGAUUA